rnacentral:rRNA from 1 species
AACGAACGCUGGCGGCAGGCUUAACACAUGCAAGUCGAGCGCCCCGCAAGGGGAGCGGCAGACGGGUGAGUAACGCGUGGGAACGUACCUUUUGGUUCGGAACAACUCCGGGAAACUGGAGCUAAUACCGGAUAAGCCCUAACGGGGAAAGAAUUAUCGCCGCAAGAUCGGCCCGCGUCGGAUUAGCUAGUUGGUGAGGUAACGGCUCACCAAGGCGACGAUCAGUAGCUGGUCUGGGAGGAUGAUCAGCCACACUGGGACUGAGACACGGCCCAGACUCCUACGGGAGGCAGCGGUGGGGAAUAUUGGACAAUGGGCGCAAGCCUGAUCCAGCCAUGCCGCGUGAGUGAUGAAGGCCUUAGGGUUGUAAAGCUCUUUUGUCCGGGAAGAUAAUGACUGUACCGGAAGAAUAAGCCCCGGCUAACUUCGUG